UACGUAGGGUGCGAGCGUUGUCCGGAAUUAUUGGGCGUAAAGAGCUCGUAGGCGGUGUGUCACGUCGGCCGUGAAAACCUGCAGCUUAACUGUGGGCGUGCGGUCGAUACGGGCAUCACUGGAGUUCGGCAGGGGAGACUGGAAUUCCUGGUGUAGCGGUGAAAUGCGUAGAUAUCUGGAGGAACACCGGUGGCGAAGGCGGCAUCCUGGACCAACACUGACGCUGAGGAGCGAAAGCCAGGGGAGCAAACAGG
rnacentral:rRNA from 1 species